UACGAAGGGGGCUAGCGUUGUUCGGAAUCACUGGGCGUAAAGGGCGCGUAGGCGGCUUUGUAAGUCGGGGGUGAAAGCCUGUGGCUCAACCACAGAAUUGCCUUCGAUACUGCAUGGCUUGAGACCGGAAGAGGUUAGUGGAACUGCGAGUGUAGAGGUGAAAUUCGUAGAUAUUCGCAAGAACACCAGUGGCGAAGGCGGCUCGAUGAGUCCGGAUCGACGCUGAGGCGCGAAAGC
rnacentral:rRNA from 1 species